UUCUAAUAGUUUUCUCUAAUUUCAGACCAAAUUUUGUUUUCCUGCUUCUCAGGCAGCUAAUUAUGACAUAGCAGAAUAUAGAAGCUUAGUCACAACUUUAGUAUUUGCAGCAAAAACAGUUACUUGGGGACGACUUGUAAGUUUUCUGGCGAUUCAAACACUAAUUCAAGUAAACAGUACCAACCUAAAGAAACUCUAGUUUUUAUUGGAUUGAUUAAGUAUGCUCUGCAAACUUUGGAUAUUUAUAAGUUAACAGUCCCUACUCCUGGAGAAGCUGUUCAGCAGCGACCAAUGACAAUACAAAAUGUUCCGUAUUUGAUGGUUGCAUCUUUAGCAGGUUUUCUUUAUAUCUAUGAACUGAACGUUGAAAUGGGAAGAGCUAGUGUUUUAAUAAAACAGCACAGGUACAAAAUAUUUGCUUCUUAAAAAUAAUAAUAAUAAAUAUGAAUUGUGCAUUAUUCUCUUCAGAGUUUGGAAUUUUUUGGUUGGUAAAACUUGAAACCCAUAAAAACUGUGGUUGGUUAGAUUUAAAAACAUCAAAACUAUCUCAAAAUUCUAUUGUUCAUAGUUAGACUUUUUCAUAUAUAUAUUCGUCGUUGAACAGGCGAUCCAAUUUUGGGUUUACGACUACUGCUAAUGUUCAACUCCAUAUCCUUGUUAUUUUGAAACAAUGCGGAAGAGAAUGAAACUCCUGGAUCAGUCCUCCCAGAGUUAUGAUUUGUUAUGAAAACAUGGAGGACUUUGUGACUCGAAAGAAUUAACGUUCAUCAGUCACCAUUUACUGCACUGGGAGUCUUUGGCCAGCUGAGAUCGAACCCACGAACUCUUGCCCGUGCCUUAUCAACCAGGCUAUAUCAGCCUCCUAGUUAGACUUUGUAAAAGUUAAGCAUUACAUAAUUAUUUAGUAGCAAUAAACUGUAACUCAAAAUUAA